rnacentral:lncRNA from 1 species
UGAUAUUUACAUUAAGGUAAGUAAUAUGAUUUUUGAACGAACCCCAGAAAUUUUUAGUCGGGAUUUUUGAUUAAGUAUUGCUAAUGGAAUAAUUGAGGUGAUGAAAUAUUCAAGUGAAAGCAUGAUUUUAUGAAGCUAGAUUAAAGAUAAGUUGGUUGUGUUCUUUGUGUCAGUUUUUACUAGAUUGUAUAGUGAAAUUAUUUUAUGCUUGGAAUUAAGUAUUUUUUUAUGAAUUGGUUAUUAGUAGAGGAACUAGAAAGUGGGAUUAACUUCAAUUGAUUAAAGAAAUUUGGGGAAGAUUCAAGAGAAAAUGUGAAAGUUGAGGAAUUAAGUGGUGACUUUGCAUUAGUUUAAUUGUCAUAUUUUAAUUUGAGUUAUUACAUUGGUAUUUCAAGUAGUGAUGUGGAAGUUGGAGAUGCCGGUCAAUUUAACCUGAUUUUUAUUCAUAGAGCUAUGAGUGGAUAUAAAACUUAUUUUUCACAAAUUAAUUAUUUAUUAAAUUUAUGUUAGAUUAGAAAAUGUAUUAUUUCAUAUAGUUGAUUUGAUAGCAUGAUUUUUACAAUAAAGUGGAUUUAUAAUUAGUUAUUUUUAAAGUUAAAUUUAGUUCAGUUAAAUUAUUUCAUUGGCAUAUUAUUUCAGUAUUAAAUAUUUUAGUAUAUUUAAAGUUAUUUUAAAACUACCAGAAAGUACUCAGGUGAUUUUAUCCCAGUCUACACUAGUGUGAAUGUGUUUCCACAGUGUAUGACCAGUUAUGGUGAUUUUACUCGCUCUACACUAUUGUGAAUGUGUUUUCAUAGUGUAUGAUCAAAAUUACAGAAUUUUAACUCUGCGCGCAUAUAACUAGAAUUACAGAAUUUCAGAAUUCCAGAAUUUCAGAAUUGAAUAGCUUUGCCAUGUAUAUCGGUACAAAUCGAUACAUGAGUGAGGUUAUUCCGGGGUAUUUUUUUUGGUGUGAUGUUUCAAUAUUUUUCUACAACUUAUCAGAUUUCAUAUUAUAGAAUUCAGUUUAUUCAGUUCUCAAAACAAAGCUUCCAGCCUAUAGUAUUGAGCAAUAAUAUUUCAUAGAUUUUCAUGAAUAUCAUAUUAUUUAUAUUUGUUACAUUUUACAGUUACUUAUCGAGAAUGAAGAACAGAGAAUUUUAUGAUUUAUUCAUGUUUGAUUUUAAAAGUGUUACCAGAUUUCAGAAUUUCUAGAAGUUUUAGUAGUACAAGAAUUUUCAGAAAAUAUGCUAAAUGAGAAAAGUUUACUUAUUUGAAAAUUAUCCACUCACUAAGCUUUAAGCUCAUAUUUUUUUUUUUUUACCUUUUUCUUUAUCAGACAUCUGCAACCUAAUUGAGUAGCUUUGGAGCCUGUCGAACCACCAAAUUGAGCCACGCGUCAUAGGUUUAUGACAUCCUUUAUCAGAUUAUACAUUAUGUGUUCUUUUAGGAUACAUGUAGUUUAAGUCAGAAAAAUUCAUCAUGGGCUCAUUACAUUCUUGAAUGGCUAGCAUUUUAUUUGAAUAGUUUGUAUUCUGAGGUAUUGGGUUGAGGAAACUUGGCUAUUGUUUAGGUGAUUUUAGCUCAUAUUUUAGGAGAAACUCUAUCAAAAUUUUGUUAGAAAUAUUUUUCAGUCAAGCAAGUCAAGUUGCCUUGGUGGUGGGUCCGGCGUUUAGCUAGUAUCUACCAUCGGCGUACAACACGUGUCGGAUCUACUAGGAUGAUUCGGACGGGUCGUGUCAACAAGCCUGUAAGAUAUGAGUUUUGAGUACUUUUUGAAAUCACGCUCAUGACAUUUCUACUGUAAGAGCACAUUCGAGGUAUGAAAGAUGAAAAAAAUUAUAUUUAGCAUAUCUUCAUCUGUAAUUAUUUC